AUGUAUGCUAUUGAAGAUAGAGAGAAUGGAAGCUUUAAGAUUAUCGAGAAUGGAAGGUUGAAGAUAACCGAGAUCCUCCAAAAGUUUUCUUGUAGGGACAGACUCAUGACGAAAUCCUUUGUUCCUAUAUUUGAUGCAGAGGAAAAAACUAUACAGAGGAAUGCAUAUAUUCAUUUUUGGUUUUGGGAUAUUGAUGUGCAUUGA